rnacentral:rRNA from 1 species
AUGAUGAGCAUACUUCAUCCACCGCCGCCGCCUCCUCCCAUCCCAGAUCCGCUGCCGCCACCGGAGGAAGGGCCCCUCCCGAGACCCGCUUCUCCCUCGAGUCAGGUCGUGUGGGCGCCAUCGUCGUCUUCUGCCUUCGGUGCGUGGCACCACUGCCGGAGAGAGCGACGAGGAGGUCCAGCAGCCCGUGCUUUCAUCGUCGUGCGGCGCCAAAAGAAUGACGAGGAGGCGGAGCAGUUCGUGGUGUCUUCGUCAUCGCCGGCCGUGCUGGCUGACCAUGACACAGAGUUAGAGGCCAUCAGGCAGAGGCGAGUGCAAGAGCUAAUGGGACAACAUGGUGGUGCGCGUUGGAGGGAGUGUCGCGUCUUGUGGCAACUGCGCCACCAAUCAAUUGCCUAG